rnacentral:tRNA from 1 species
GCUCAGUUGGUUAAGCGUCUGACUCUUGGUUUGGGCUCAGGUGGUGAUCUUUGGGUCGUGGGAUCAAGCCCCACAUUGGGCU